rnacentral:ncRNA from 1 species
UAUUUAUCCAGAGAAGUGGAGGGAUCAGGCCCGAUGAAACUUCAGCAGCGGACUCUGCGGAGUACUGUGCUAAAUCCUGCAGGCAGCGGCUUGAGAGAUGAAAU